AUGUUUGUGAUGAUGCAAUCUACCCGCGGCUAGACGGAAAGACCCCAUGAACCUUUACUGUAGCUUUGCAUUGGACUUUGAAUCAAUCUGUGUAGGAUAGGUGGGAGGCUUUGAAGCGGGGACGCCAGUUCUCGUGGAGCCAUCCUUGAAAUACCACCCUGGUUCAUUUGAGGUUCUAACCUUGGUCCGUUAUCCGGAUCGGGGACAGUGCAUGGUAGGCAGUUUGACUGGGGCGGUCUCCUCCUAAAGAGUAACGGAGG
rnacentral:rRNA from 1 species